rnacentral:rRNA from 1 species
CAGGUCGCCACGGGAAUACGAAGGGGGCUAGCGUUGUUCGGAAUCACUGGGCGUAAAGCGCACGUAAGCGGAUACUUAAGUCAGGGGUGAAAUCCCGGGGCUCAACCUCGGAACUGCCUUUGAUACUGGGUAUCUUGAGUCCGGGAGAGGUUGGUGGAACUCCGAGUGUAGAGGUGAAAUUCGUAGAUAUUCGGAAGAACACCAGUGGCGAAGGCGGCCAACUGGCCCGGUACUGACGCUGAGGUGCGAAAGCGUGGGGAGCAAACAGGAUUAGAUACCCCAGUAGUCCCUGUCUCUUAUU